CUUGNGCGAGAGUAGUACUAGGAUGGGUGACCCCCUGGGAAGUCCUCGUGUUGCACCCCUCCCCCUUCUUUUUGCAUCGUUUNUGCCUUUGUGGCGAAAGGUGGUGAAAGGAAACGCACGUACGAGUGAACGUGGCUCAGUAAAACGCGGACGUAAAACUAAAAACGCGCGGCACCGGCACGUGGAAAUAUAGGCACAAAAUCGGAUGACCCUAACGGUUGGGAAUAUAAGAGUAAAAAAAGGGAGAAUCCUAGCGGGUGCGAU
rnacentral:misc_RNA from 1 species